CGGGGUAUAGCUCAGUUUGGUAGAGUGCUUGGCUUGGGACCAAGAGGCCGGGGGUUCAAAUCCCUCUGCCCCGA
rfam:Firmicutes bacterium MLFW-2 MLFW-2_Contig_4_85X, whole genome shotgun sequence.